rfam:Desulfotomaculum aeronauticum DSM 10349 genome assembly, contig: EJ44DRAFT_scaffold00002.2
ACAGUCAAGUAGAAGCCUCCCGCUUCUCACCUUACAACCACAGUUCGUAAGGUUACCAAUGUAAACAAUAUUUCUUAUUGUCUUGCGUUUAUUAGCGGGUGUCUGUACACCCGCUUUUAUUAUUUUAU